AUUUUCUGCACCCGUUUUAUCUAUCCACUGGCUGAUGGUGGUGAUUAUACUUCAACCACUGAAGACGGUUGGGUAGUGAUGGCUACAGGCUCUCAAGCCCAGAACCGAGGGUGAAAUUGAAGCUGAUGUAUGCAGACGUGAGCCCCUAAGACGGACACAACACCUGCCUGGUAUAGCUCUGAGCUCAGCACCUCCCCAGCACUAACUGCCUCAGACAGCCCGAGCCCCAUGAGGUGUGUGUGUCUGUGUGUGUGUAUGUGUGUGUGUGUGUGUGUAUGUGUGCUCGAGAUGAUGGUUAUACAGCACGAGGCCCGUUAAAUGUAAAAUGAAAGGAGCGAACUAGGAGUGUGACUCAACCAGGGAGUGGAUUUCAAAGCCGACAGCUUCCACUGAAGCUUCAUGACAUCCAUUAUUUAUUGAGUUCUCUUUGACACAUUCAGACGCUUCUUUUACCUGCUGCUUUUAGACAGCAGAACAGAGGAGUACGCUCCUCUAUCUGAGCAAACUGAUGCAAUCAGCAGAGAAUAUAGCACACAAUAGUCACUCUCAACAUGACAAUAAAUUAAGAAUAAUUCAUCUA